UACGUAGGGUGCAAGCGUUGUCCGGAAUUAUUGGGCGUAAAGAGCUCGUAGGCGGUUCGUCGCGUCGGCUGUGAAAACCCGGAGCUCAACUCCGGGCCUGCAGUCGAUACGGGCGGACUUGAGUGUUGCAGGGGAGACUGGAAUUCCUGGUGUAGCGGUGAAAUGCGCAGAUAUCUGGAGGAACACCGGUGGCGAAGGCGGCAUCCUGGACCGGCAUUGACGCUGAGGCGCGAAAGCCAGGGGAGCAAGCAGGG
rnacentral:rRNA from 1 species